GACGGGGGGGGCAAGUGUUCUUCGGAAUGACUGGGCGUAAAGGGCACGUAGGCGGUGAAUCGGGUUGAAAGUGAAAGUCGCCAAAAAGUGGCGGAAUGCUCUCGAAACCAAUUCACUUGAGUGAGACAGAGGAGAGUGGAAUUCCUGGUGUAGCGGUGGAAUGCGCAGAUAUCAGGAGGAACACCGGUGGCGAAGGCGGGUCUCUGGGCCGUUACUGACGCUGAGGAGCGAAAGCGUGGGGAGCGAACAGG
rnacentral:rRNA from 1 species